CGCUGGCGGUGUGCCUCAUACAUGCAAGUCGAACGAGAAGUUACCUUCGGGUAAUGGAAAGUGGCGGACGGGUGAGUACAACAUAGGAAAUCUGCCCUAAAGCGGGGGACAACAGAGGGAAACUCCUGCUAAUACCCCAUAUGAGCUUAGUUGAAAUACUAAUCUUGAAAGAUUUAUCACUUUAGGAUGAGCCUGUGCCUGAUUAGCUGGUUGGUGGUGUAAUGGACUACCAAGGCGACGAUCAGUAGCUGGUUUGAGAGGAUGAUCAGCCACAAUGGGACUGAGACACGGCCCAUACUCCUACGGGAGGCAGCAGUAGGGAAUUUUGCGCAAUGGGGGGAAAAACCCCCUGACGCAGCAACACCGCGUGAAUGUUAAGCCCUUCGGGGUGUAAAGUUCUGUCAAUAGGGAAGAAUAAAUGACUGUACCUAUAAAGGAAGCACCGGCUAACUCCGUGCCAGCAGCGGC
rnacentral:rRNA from 1 species